rnacentral:rRNA from 1 species
AUUGAACGCUGGCGGCAUGCUUUACACAUGCAAGUCGAACGGCAGCGCGGGCUUCGGCCUGGCGGCGAGUGGCGAACGGGUGAGUAAUACAUCGGAACGUGCCCAGUAGUUGGGGAUAGCUCGGCGAAAGCCGGAUUAAUACCGCAUACGACCUGAGGGUGAAAGCGGGGGAUCUUCGGACCUCGCGCUAUUGGAGCGGCCGAUGGCAGAUUAGCUAGUUGGUGGGGUAAAGGCCUACCAAGGCGACGAUCUGUAGCUGGUCUGAGAGGACGACCAGCCACACUGGGACUGAGACACGGCCCAGACUCCUACGGGAGGCAGCAGUGGGGAAUUUUGGACAAUGGGCGAAAGCCUGAUCCAGCAAUGCCGCGUGUGUGAUGAAGGCCUUCGGGUUGUAAAGCACUUUUGGCGGGAACGAAAAGGACUGUGCCAAUACCACGGUUCGAUGACGGUACCCGCAGAAUAAGCACCGGCUAACUACGUG